UACAGAGGGUGCAAGCGUUGUUCGGAAUUAUUGGGCGUAAAGCGCGUGUAGGCGGCUUUGCAAGUCGGGUGUGAAAGCCCUCGGCUCAACCGAGGAAGUGCGCCCGAAACUGCAGAGCUUGAGUACCGGAGAGGAUGGCGGAAUUCCCCAAGUAGAGGUGAAAUUCGUAGAUAUGGGGAGGAACACCGGUGGCGAAGGCGGCCAACUGGACCACAACUGACGCUGAGGCGCGAAAGCGUGGGGAGCAAACAGG
rnacentral:rRNA from 1 species